rnacentral:rRNA from 1 species
CAGCAGCCGCGGUAAUACGAAGGGUGCAAGCGUUAAUCGGAAUUACUGGGCGUAAAGCGUGCGUAGGCGGUUUGUUAAGUCUGUUGUGAAAUCCCCGGGCUCAACCUGGGAAUGGCAAUGGAUACUGGCAAGCUAGAGUGUGUCAGAGGAUGGUGGAAUUCCCGGUGUAGCGGUGAAGUGCGUAGAGAUCGGGAGGAACAUCAUUGGCGAAGGCGGCUUACUGGCUCAUACUGGACGCUGAGGUGCGAAAGCGUGGGGAGCAAACAGGAUUAGAUACCCGAGUAGUCCCUGUCUCUUAUAC